rnacentral:piRNA from 1 species
UCAAACAGAGCAGACUUACCCUCAGGUAUGU